rnacentral:lncRNA from 1 species
CCAAAUUCAUUUAAAACUGUUCAAAUAACGUAAGGACCAUCUCACUUCAUCUCUCUUCGCUCAUCGUCCAUAUUUAGAGAGCCAAACCCUAGUGCCGUCCUAAAUUCCUCUCCAUCUCUGGUGGCGGGGCCAUCUCAAAACACCUCCAAAUUUAUAUCACCGAACCUUCAUGACCUCCCCUUUCCUAAUCCCUAACUAGUUUCCCUCGAAUCCCUUUAGAGUGUCUCGAAUCGUCGAUUGAAGCAAUCCAGCUAGAACCCUAUAAACCCCAAAUAUCUCCAAUCAUCAAGUUUCAAUGAAAUAUUAGGGUUGAAAUUGGUCUUAUUCGUCUUUUCUCAAUAAGAAGAUAUUAUUAAUGCCAAUUUCGGCUCAAAAUUGAGAGUUUUGAAGAUCAUUUUAACUCCAAUGUCCCUCCACUCGUUCAUGGUAUUUUCCGUCCAUUUUGUUUCUUUCGUCUUUCAUUUUAUCGUCAAUCUUCAUCCACUUCUGAUUUUUUUCCUUUUUCUUUCUUCUUUUUUAUAUCCUCUAUGUGAUGCCAUUUUUAAGUUAUUUUUUUUUUAGUCAACAUGUUUAAGUUUAUUUAAUUCUGUUGUUUGAUUUUGCUUAAAUUUCUUUCUAUUUUUGUUUUUUUUGGAUUCAUGACUUCGGGAGUUUUCUAUAACUCCAUUGGCCCAGUUUCUUGAUUGGUUUCUAUUGGUUUUUGAAUUAAAUUUGGACUUUGUCAGUCAAAAUCCCAAAGAUGGGAAGUUCAAUCCGGGUUUGCCCAGCCCAGGAUCUGUGGUUUGAUUUGUUUGGGUCAGCUUGGCCAUGUUUGGUUCAUGAGGGUAAUUAACAGAGAUUUAAUGGCUAGUUUAGGGAAAGGGAUAGAGGGAGUAUCUUUUAACUGCCUAGGAAGCUGCUAGGAAGAUGAAGUUGAGGUUAAGUUAAAUAAAUAAAAUUAAUAAUCAGAGUCUAAGUUGAAAAAAGAAAAUUAGGGAAGGGGUGUUUGUUAAAAUGGAAAAUCAUUUCUGCUGCCCUAAGUUUAUCUAUAUAAGGGUCGUCUUUAGUAAAAUGAGCAAAUAUUGAAAACCUGAGAUGUUAGAAAUGGCUAAAAAAAAGAUCCUCGCAGAUAGAACUUUUUCCAAAUCAAUGUUCCAUUGCAUUUGUCUUCAUAUAUCUUUGGAUAUUUUUUAAAGUUUAAGUGGAUUACUCUAUUUUGGGCUCAAAUAUGGUAGUAGCUUAUUGAGUACUGUUGUUAGCUUUUGUUAAGAAGUUGUCGAUACUUUUAUCUCUCUGCUGAAAGUUUUUGCUGUUUGUUUCUCAUUGUUCCAAGUAUUUUUUUGAAUUUUGAAUAGAAAAUGAAGGUGUGAAUGUGGCUUUGUAAGGAAAGUGUUGUUUCUGUUGAAGUUCAUUAAAGAUUGCUAGUUGUUAGCUUGGUUUUUAUAUUUUUGGUCAAGUCAUUUAGCUUCUUGUCCAUUUUUCCUUCUACUUCUUUCUUAAUUGUAAUAGAUUUGUAAUAAUAGAUGCUCUAAUAAUUCAUGCUUAAGUGUUAAAACUAUGUACAAUCUCGAAGUACAACCAUGGUAAUUAGCCCGUUCUUUUUUAUUUCUUUUGCUGAAUUGAGUUUAAUUAGUCUCACACUCGAGGCUUGAGUACUCCUUUGAAGAGGGUUGAAUGGUUUCUUCCCCAAUUGUAUGAGGAAUUAUGGAAAUGGAUGGCAGUUUUCAUUGAAGGUUAUAAUUUACCAGGCAUUUUGUUCUAAUGGUUUGAAUUACUUGUUUGUUUGUUGAUUCCAUGAUUCAAGGUAUGUUAAUUUUCACUCAUUAGUUAAUUGCUCCCUUAAAUGGACUUGAAUUAUGCUUUAGUGUUGAACUUAUACGUAAGUUGAUGAGUGCAUGAAUAAUCAUGAGGGUCAGAGAUAAAUGUCUCAGCAAAUUCCAAUUUGAUGUUCAAGCUUGCUAAAGACCUCAACUGGGUUUGACAUGAUGCCCAAUUUCAGGUGGCCCGCUCUCAAGCUGAGAUAACUUUCGAAUCAGUGUUAAUUCUUGUGUUUCUUUGAUAUUUUCAUUCGGCCGAAUUCAAUUUAGUUGGUGGUAUGAUGAAGUCACUUUAAGAUUAUCACAAUCUGCGAUUGGGCCUUGUACGUGGCCCAAUUAAAUCAUUUAUGCACCAUGCAGCUUCAAUCUCGACUUUGGGCUUUUCCGUUGAGCUCAGGUUCCCUUUUAAAUAGGUUCAUGGGAAAACUACCCUCUAUAACCCCUCAAAAUUUUAAUAGCCCAUGUUUUGGCCCACUUGCAAAAGAUGACCCUUCGGCCCAAACAUAUUGCAUCUAGUAGCCCGAAAUGUCUGUUUUGUAUAUUUUUUGUAUAGUGACUGUCUAUUUUGUAUAGUGAAAAUCUAUUUUGUAUAAUGAUAGUAUAUAUAUUAUAUAUUUUGUAUGCUGACAACCUAUUUUGUAUAUAUUUUGUAUAGUUACAUCUAUUUUGUAUAUAAAUGUAUAGUUACAUCUAUUGUUGUAUAUAUUUUGUAUAGUAAUACUCUAUUUGUAUAUAAAUUUUAUAGUGACAGAAUUUUUGGUAUAUAUUUUGUAUAGUUAUAUUUAAUUUGUAUAUUUUUUUGUAUAGUGACAGUCUAUUGUAUAUAAAUUAUACAAUUAACGUCUAUUUUGUAUAUU